GCCUGGGUGGCUCAGUCGGUUGAGCGUCCGACUUCAGCUCGGGUCAUGAUCUUGUGGUUCAUGAGUUCAAGCCCCGCCUCGGGCU
rnacentral:tRNA from 1 species